UUUCUGUUGGGGAAUCAGCCAUUACUGUGCCUGCUGUCCCUCUCCUGGAUUGCCCAAUCAGUGCUCAGGGUCUGGAACAUUCCCUAUCUGGAAGCUGGAUUCCAUACUGUCAUUUGUUCCCAUUUUCUUCUUCAUUAUUAGAGAAACCUUUCCCCUGUUCUGGGUACACAGUGAACUUCCUUGUAUUGCUCAACAUUAUCAGAUAUUUUUUCUGGAUCUAUUGAUAUGACCAUAUCAUUUUUCCCCAUUUUUUUCUCUGUUAGUGAGGCAAAUUACAUUAACUGAUUUUCAAAUGCUGUAUUUCUCUUGUGUUCCUGUAAUAAACUAUUAUUAUUUUUAUACAUAGCUGGAUUUGACUUGCCAUUAUAUGGUCUAGCAAUUUUGCAUCUGUCUUUAAGAAAGACAUUGAUUUGUAAUUUUUUUGUAAUGUCCUUGUCAGAUUUUGGUAUCAAGAUUAUUCUGGCCUUAUUUCCAUUCUCUCAACAAUAGCAGAAAUUGUUUUGGAACAUAUUGGUCAUUAGAUCAUAUCAUGUCUUAUUUGCAAUUAAAUGUUAUCGUGUGAUUACCAAAAAAGAGCAGCUACCUGAAUUGUAAUGUAUACCAAAAAAAAAAAAAAAAAAGAUUAUUGUGGUCUCAUUAAAAGAGUUGUUGAUUCAUUCUGACUUUUUCUGUUCUUUAGAAGAAUUUAUUAGUGAUAUUUCUUUCCUACAAUUUGUGGAAGACCACCAAUGAAACAACCUGGGCUUGGAGUUUACAUCGGUUUUAUCUUUUCCUCUGCUAGGCAGGAGUGAAGACUGAUCACCUAAAUCCAAUUAAGGACUAAGCAUUGUUCACAGGAGAGAGAGACAGAGCAUGAACGGGGGAGG